rnacentral:lncRNA from 1 species
GCCCCCUCGUUCUAGAUCGGGACCCGCCUCCCCGACGGUGUGACGCCGCCGGAUCACCGAGGCCACCUAGCCCCGAUGUUGCCCCGCCGCCUCGUCCUCAUCACCCGCGCCGUCCUCGACCUCCUCCUCAACCGCAGCUCCACCGAGCCUCACCGGUGUUCCCUUGCAACUGGGGUGAGCCGCCGUCCGUCCUCUUCUUCCCUAUCCCCGAUUCACCGGCUUCGGCUGUCGUCCGCGCCGCCCGUUCUUCUGGCCGACGCCGGAAUCGCCGUGCGCCCUCGUCGCGACCGUUGACGCGCCCCCACGCGCCCGUGGCCCCGCUUGUCUGUGCACCGGCUACGCCCGGGCUGUGCCCCGUGCGUGCGCCCGCCCCCGCUGGCGAUGCGGCCUGCUGCUGCCGCACGUGACUGCCACUUUUGCCGCAGCUCCAGCGUCCGGGAUCGAGGCACCGCGCCCGUCCCGUCCCGCGACUACUGUUGCCUGCUGGCCUAGGGCCGCGCCCGUGCCUCGCCCGCACCCCGCGCCGCCGCUCGUGCGUGGCCUGUGCGCCUGCCAACGCUCGCCGUGCGCCUCUGCGUGCGCGCAUAGCCUAUGACCAGUGGGCCCAUGCAGUUUAAUUAGGAGGGCCUAAUCCGGUUUUAGUUUAAUCCCCCUAAUACUCGGUGACUAGAGGGGCCCUCUCUCUAAAUAGAAUCUGUUAAAACUAAAUAACUGUUGUUAACCACCUCUGAAAAUGACAAUUGGCCCCACCUAUCAUAUUUGACCGGUCAACAGUCAACCCAGUUGACUGCUGACUGGGUUGCUGACUGGGUCAACUAGGACCCUGGGCCCCACUGCCAGCCUCACACACCCUUGCUGGGUACACUUUUGGGUGCCCUUAGCUUUUAGCUAUUUAAUAUUUCUGAAAUAUUAUUAAUUCAGUAAAAUGUGAAAACUGUUUAAAACUUUCAAAAUUAAUAUCAAAUAAUCUGUAACUCGGAUGAAAAAGUUUUAUAUAUGAAAGUUGAUCAGAAAAAUGAGCCGAACCUGAAUACGCUACCCACAUACCUGGCAGAUGCCUCUAACUAUCUGAACAUGGAACUUUUCCCCUCCGGUCAUCUGUCUGACACAGGUCCGGUACCGGGAAUACAUUCCCAGCUGAAUUCCCCCUUCACCUAUAUCAUGCAGUACUACGUUAGGUCGACCCUAGUUCUGCUUAUCGUCUUGUCAUGCUUUGUGAUGCUAUGUUUGCUUUAUAUUUAUUGUUUCUUCCCCCUCUUCUCUCCGGUAGACCCCGAGACUGAUGCUGCCCCUGUGAUUGACUACGUCGACGACGACCCCUCCUUGCCAGAGCAACCAGGCAAGCCCCCCUUUGAUCAUCCCGAUAUCGCCCAUUCCAUUCUCUCAUGCUUGCAUUAGAUUUUGCUACUAUUAUUGUUUGCUCCUAUUCUGAUGCAUAGCCUGUUUAUUGUAACCUGUUGUUGUUACCUACCUGCUUGUCCUAAACUGUUUAGUAUAGGUUGGGUAGAGACCCAUCAGAGACCCCCACUUUGUCCCGAUUGCCCCUGCUUCAUCAUUGAAGACCCGAUCAACGGGAUCGAAGACCAGGCCCCAGCACCGCACAUCACUUUCCCCUUAGUUGCUCGACACUACUGGGUUACUAUCGAGUGCCGAGGGUGAGACCUCUACAGCACUUCUGAUGUUAACCCUGUAGUGUAGCUAUUCGGUCGUGGUCAUUGAGGGUGAUUCCGCCUUAACCACUUCCGAUACGACUCUGUCGUGCAACCCCUCAAGUGUGAACCUCUGGGGUGGUUCCUCUUACGUUCACCUUGAUGGUUACAUCGAGUGGAAUUCACCGGGGGUGAUUCCUCGGGUUUUCCCCUUGAUGUUUGGACACACGGAUACUUGGACUUUACAACUGUUACUUGGAAGGGCGGGUCGACCCUGAGCGGUACCCGCGAGUGAUGUGGAGACGGGUUGACCUGGAGGGUGCCCGCGAGAUAAUUACGAGGCGUGGCCGGGCAUUCCUAGCCCUUGCCGCAAGUCCUCGAGACGGGGCAAUGGGGUCACAUCUUUCGUAAGUCUCUGCUUGUUACCGCGUGCUCCUAAUGCACUACGAUUUGGAUAUUUGAUCCAAGGGGCCUCUGGCCUGAUAGCACUAACCAUCACGUGGGCAUUGUAUGGGUGUUCUGCGUUGUAUGCAUCAGCCGAAGCUUAAUAGACGUCAGCGACUGAGCGGCGCGCGCUGGGUUGGACUAGUAAUCUCCUACCUUUUUAGGGAGGUAGCUAGGUCUGCUCACCGGCCGCGUACGCAACGUGCAGGAGUUCCUGGGGUGAUGGCCCAUAACCCCUGGGGGCAUAGGUUUAGUCUGGCGUGCUUACCUCUCUAUUAAGCCUAGGUCGGGUUGCGGCGUAUUGUUUGGCCAAGGCCGGGCAUGACCCAGGAAAGUGUGUCCGGCCGGAGUUAAUCAAGCGUGGUGGGUAAGUUGGUGCACCCCUGCAGGGAAGAAAUCAUCUAUCGAUAGCCUGUCCUACGGUAACGGACACUUCGAGUUGUAUCCCGAUUGAUACAACUAGAACUGGAUACUUGUGAUGAGAAUUGGAUUAUGAUGAGAACUGGAUAGUAUGGCUCCGGGAUUGCUUUCUCGCAGGGAGUCGAGAAAGGAUCUCUGGUCGAGGUUGAUAACACUGCUACUACUUUACUUUAUGCUACUCUACUCCCUCCUAUUGCUGCAAGAUGGUGGUUUCCAAAAGAUGCUAGUCUUCGAUAGGACUAGGCUCUCCCCUCUAUUCUGGCAUAUCUGCAGCCCAGUCCACAUAUACAACCUUCCUUUGAUAAUGUUGCAUAUGUAGUGUAGAUCCUUUCUUGCGAGUACUUUGGAUGAGUACUCACGGUUGCUUUGCUCCACCUUUUCCCCCUUUCUUCUUCUUUCUGGUUGAUGCAACCAGAUGUCGGAGCCUAGGAGCCAGAUGCCACCGCCGAUGCCUGCUACGACCAGGAGUAGUUAGGAGGCUCCUAGGCAGGAGGCCUUGCCUUUUCGAUCGUUGUUGCUUUUGUGCUAGCCUUCUUAAGGCAAACUUGUCUAACUCAUGUCUGUACUCAGAUAUUGUUGCUUCCGCUGACUCUUGUGUAUUCGAGCUUAUAUAUUCGAGCCCUUGAGGCCCCUGGCUUGUAAUAUAAAGCUUGUAUUAUUUUAAUUUGUGUCGAGUUGUGUUGUGAUAUAUUCCCGUGAGUCCUUGAUCUUGAUCGUACACAUUUGCGUGUAUGAUUAGUGUACGAUUGAAUCGAGGGCGUCACAAGCGCCUUUGGUAAGGAAAAAAUUUAUAUAGUGUGCUGAAAUUUAC